rnacentral:rRNA from 1 species
UACGAAGGGAGCUAGCGUUGUUCGGAAUCACUGGGCGUAAAGCGCACGUAGGCGGAUGUGUCAGUCAGGGGUGAAAUCCCGGAGCUCAACUUCGGAACUGCCUUUGAUACAGCACAUCUGGAGUCCGGAAGAGGUGGGUGGAAUUCCUAGUGUAGAGGUGAAAUUCGUAGAUAUUAGGAAGAACACCGGUGGCGAAGGCGGCCCACUGGUCCCGGUACUGACGCUGAGGUGCGAAAGCGUGGGAGCAAACGGG